rnacentral:rRNA from 1 species
UGGGGAAUAUUGGGCAAUGGGCGCAAGCCUGACCCAGCAACGCCGCGUGAAGGAAGAAGGCUUUCGGGUUGUAAACUUCUUUUGUCAGGGAAGAUGAAGAGACGGUACCUGACGAAUAAGCCGCGGCUAACUACGUGCCAGCAGCCGCGGUAAUACGUAGGUGGCAAGCGUUGUCCGGAUUUACUGGGUGUAAAGGGCGUGUAGGCGGGAGAGCAAGUCAGGCGUGAAAACUAUGGGCUUAACCCAUAGCCUGCGUUUGAAACUGUUUUUUCUUGAGUACUGGAGAGGUUGACGGAAUUCCUUGUGUAGCGGUGAAAUGCGUAGAUAUAAGGAGGAACACCAGUGGCGAAGGCGGUCAACUGGACAGCAACUGACGCUGAGGCGCGAAAGCGUGGGGAGCAAACAGGAUUAGAUACCC